GACAAAAUUCCUCAUAAGGAAGGUCCUUAUCUUUUGACCAGGAAAAUAAUCUUAAUAGAUAUGUUAGAUUAUGAGAGUUAAAACAUACUGGGAAACACCUAGAUUGAGCAAAAAGGUAAGGUAAAGUAUUGUACAUAAGAAAGCAACAGGAAUUUGAAAUAUAGUAGUGGCUCAGUAGUGGAGGAAGAAGAUGGAUAGAACCUAAGAGUGAGUGAGGGUAGAGUAACCAUAGAACUUUAGGACUAUAGUAUGUAGUUGCUUGCUGUGCUUCUUAAGAACUCCCUUACUCCCAUCAAUUGCAAAUUACCAAUAAGAGUUGGAUAUAUACAAUAGACUUGUAUUAGUAUUGUUGGUGGGGAGAUUUCAAGGAUAAAGACCUAUAAGUUCUAUGUUCGAUCUUCUUGGGGCAGAAAGAGGAUUGCACCUGUGGAAAGUAAUAAUGUGAGUGAGAUCAAGAGUCCAUGGGAAUAGAGAAACAAAGCAAAAAUAAACAAAAAGAGCACAAGUGACCUAGGAAUCCUCAAACUUUGGUCAAGGUAUUGAUUUAUGUUAGUAUAUGCUCUGGGGUCUGAGCUAUUUUAAUAUUAAAGGAAACGUUAACCCCAGGAUGCCAAAAAUUUUGGGUCGCCCAGGUAGGAGAUGUUAAUUUUUCUGUAGCAGAAUUUUGCAGUAAGGAAUAAUAUAACACAGUCCUGCUGAAAGAAGACAGCACUGCAGGUACUGUUCCAGCAUCUUAUUUUUGCAUUUGGUAUAUUGUUGGAGAUGAUAGGUAGAUAAUAUGUUCAUCUUUAUAGAUGUUUGCAAUGAGGGAGAAGGAAUUAGCCCCCUGAAAUUUUCAGGAAAGUCCAAGGAGGAUUUGCUUUAUUAAGAUAUGGCAAAAAGUGCCAUAUGGAAAAUCAGCUGAUGGCAGUUCUUAGAGGGCCAGGUAUUUUGGUUUCUGAAAUAGUGUAUUGGUAUAGCAGUUCUUUUUUUUUUUUUCUCUCAUGGAGGUUAGAGAUCUGGAAAUUGAACUGGGUGGGAAGUUGUGACUAGUGCAGUUUUUGCUAGAGGAGGCUUUCGAUAUUGUGGAGCUACCUGAAGAUUACAGAAAUGUAGUGUUAAUGGUCACUUAGCACCUUCAGAGUAAUGUUGCCUUGCAUAUAUGACCUUAAUAAUUAGGAUCAUUUUUUCCUCUCACAGUACGUAGUUGCGUUUUCCAGGAUGAAUUUCCUCCAGAAUUAUAUACCUUAGGAAAUAAAUGAUACCUAUGACCAUAUUGAUUGCCUUGGUUUCAACCAGGAAUCAUUCUUUAAGGUUUUGCUAAGUUAGAUAGGGACCAAGAUAGUCAUUUCAGAUUCUGGAAUGCAUCUUCGGCCACUAGGGACUAUUUAAGUAGGUAAUAUUUGUUUAGGAGUUUCAUAAUAGGUGUUUAUUAUUGCAUAGAUGCAAGGAAUAAAUUUGAGCAAGAGCUAAUGAAUCUGUGAACAUGGUUGACUACCAUACUCUUAUUAGUUGACGUUGGACUUCUGUUCAGAGAAAGGAGUUUUCUAAAUGAAGAGCAGAUAAAAGCAAGAUGGCCUUUUCCACUGGAUUAAUACAUGUAUGGUCUAACAGAAUACUUUUCAGUGAUCAGAUUCAAGAGCUUGAGGGUUGAGGCUUUGAGUUGUCUUAGGACUUAAGCCAUGAUCUAAGAACAUGGGACAUGGAAUCAAUCUACCAUAAGUGCCAGUUACUGGGGAGGUUAUGGGAAGUGUUAGAACUAUAAUCAAAACCAGAAUGAGGAUAAAUACCAAGGAAAUAAGAAACCAGAAUGUAGGAAGCAAUCUCUAAUCAGAAGGCAGUUUAGCACCAAUUUUGUCUAGCAUUUCUUUGAUUGGUUCAAACACAUAGUAUUUGCUUUGCAGUGAUUUAAAGGCCUGCACCUGAAAUACAUAGUUUACCAAUUUUCAGAGAAUCAGAGUGAAUCAGGUGGACCCAAGACCAAAAUGAUACUAUUCUUUGAUUUACAUAUUUGCUUCCCGUGGCAGCAAGAGGGGCAGAGUGGCUGGGCCGCUCCCCUUGGCCCUGGUCCCGGCUUGCCCCGCCCCACCACCAUGGCCCAGGAUGAGGGUAUAUAUUUGGAGGGGACGCAGGACGCCGGCACAGAAGGAGCCGGGUGGAGCUGUGGUCGCGCUGAGGAAGCUUUAUAGAUACAUGCAUUGCAUCCCUAUUUUCACAAAGCUUGGCUAUCAGAGCAUUAUGAACACUAAUGACCUCAAACUCAGGUUGUCCAAACCCACUACGUUUCUGGAAUGAGCUUGAAGAAGCCUGACAGGUAGAACUUUAUGCAGAGCUCCAGGCCAUCAACUUUCAGGAACUGAACUUCUUUUUCCAAAAGGCCAUUGAAGGAUUUAACCAGUCCUCUCAUCAAGAAAAGGUGGAUGCGUGAAUGGAACCUGUCCCUCAAGAGGUACUGGGCAGUGCUGCAGGGAAGCUAGAUCAGCUCCAGGCCUGGGAAAGCAAAGUUUUCCAGAUUUCUCAGAACAAAGUCACAGUUCUUCUAGCUGGUGGGCAGGGGACUAGACUCGUUGCAUAUCCAAAGGGGAUGUAUGAUGUUGGUUUGCCAUCCCAUAAGACAGUUUUUCAGAUUCAAGCAGAGCAUAUCCUGAAGCUACAACAGUUAGCUGAAAAAUAUUAUGGCAACAAAUGCAUUAUUCCAUAUAAUGAUCAGUGGCAGAACAGCAGAAUCUACAAAGGAGUUCUUCACCAAGCACAAGUACUUUGGUUUAAAAAAAAUAGAAAAUAUUAUCUUUUUUUUCAGCAAGGAAUGCUCCCUGCCAUGAGUUUUGAUGGGCAAAUUAUUUUGGAAGAGAAGAACAAAGUUUCUAUGGCUCCAGAUGAGAAUACUGGUCUUCAUCGGGCUCUUGCAGCCUGGCAUAUUGUGGAGGAUAUGGAGCAAAGAGGCAUUUGGAGCAUUCAUGUCUAUUGUGUUGACAGCGUAUUAGUAAAAGUGGCAGACCCACAGUUCACUGGAUUUUGCAUUCAGAAAGGAGCAGACUGUGGAGCAAAGGUGGUAGAGAAAACAAACCCUACAGAACCGGUUGGAGUGGUUUGCCAAGUGGAUGGACUUUACCAGGUGGUAGAAUAUAGUGAUAUUUCCCUGGCAACAGCUCAGAAACGAAGCUCAGAUGGAUGACUGCUGUUCAAUGUGGGGAAUGUUGCCAACCACUUAUUCACUGUACUAUUUCUGAAGAGAUGUUGUCAAUGUUUAUGAACCUCAGUUGCAGCACCAUGUGGCUCAAAAGAAGAUUCCUUAUGUGGAUACCCAACAGCACUUAAUUAAGCCAGAUAAACCCAGUGGAAUAAGUAUGGAAAAAUUUGUCUUUGACAUCUUCUAGUUCGCAAAGAAGUUUGUGGUUUAUGAAGUAUUAUGGGAAGAUGACUUUUCCACACUAAAGAAUGCUGACAGUCAGAAUGGGAAAGACAACUCUACUACCGCAAGGCACACUUCAUUAUUGCUGGGUUCUCAAUGCAGGGGUCACUUUAUAGAUGAAAAUGGCUCUCAUCUUCCAGCAAUUUCCCACUUAAAGGAUGCCAAUGAUGUACCAAUCCGGUGUGAAACCUCUCUUCUUAUCUCUAAUGCUGAGGAAGGAAUAGAAAGUUAUGUGGCAGAUAUAGAAUUCCAUGCACCUUUAAUCAUCGAUGAGAAUGGAGUUCAUGAGGUGGUGAAAAUGGUAUAUGAGCCUGAUACCAAGUUCUACCACAAUAGGAAUAGCUUUUGUUUUUGAUAGACCAACUGUGAACCUACAGGACCUCCUGGAUGACUGAAGUUUAAAUAUUCACAGGGUUUUAUUUUGCUUGUUGAACUCUUAGAGCUACUGCAAACUUCCCAAGAUCUAGAUGACUGAACUUCAGAUAGCAUUUUUAUGAUUCCCAACUCAUUGAAGGUCUUAUUUAUAUUUUUCAAUUGUGUAUUUCUUUCCAAGGCAAGGAAACCAUUGGCAAUACAAGAAAUUUCCUACAGCUGAACUACAGUCAGGAUGUUCAACAUCACUUUACUUGGAGCUGGAGGCAUUUGUUUUUGAAGUUGUGCAUAGUAAUAAUAUGUCAUUGUAGAUGUUGAAAGGUUUCUAUGGUAACAAAAGUUUAUUUUAUCAAAUAUUCAACUUUUUAAAUGAAAUAAUUGGACAGUAAAAUAAACGUAUCUUCUUGUUUCUGGAAAACAAUAAAAAUUUGCUUCUUCCUCUCAGAGUUUUCACUUAUGCAUAUUAUUGAACAGUUGAUUUCUUAUGAAUAGACUGAAGAAAAAAACCAUCACUAUUAUAGAUAAGUAAAUUUUCAGUCUUUUUCAUCUUGGAUGGCAAGCAAAAUCAAAUAUUUGGAGGCAAGAACUAUUGGGCAAAGCAUUUUCUAUCUCUGUGCACAAUUGAAAUGACAUUAUUCGGGGUGACUGCAUCUGAACACAUCCUCAGUCAUGCAUUAUCCAAGAAGUAAAAUGAUCUUAGACGGGCAGGGGCAGGAAUAGUGGGAAGUUAUGAGUGCUGGACACAGAGAAGGUACAAAGUAAAUAUCGUUGUCUGCUAUUCACUAUGUAGACAUUGCAUUGUUUUUUAUCACCUUCUGUAUAUUUUGUUCAACCAAAAAUAAUUUUUAGUGAUAAGAAGUAGGUACUUUGUGAGGCAUUGGGGAAACAAAGGAAAAACACAUCCUUUGUUCUUGAGGAGUUCACAAUCUAGAAAUGAAGUCAAAAGAGCAAAUAAAUACCUGUAAUAAACUCUAAAAAACAUGUAAAAUGAAAAAAUAUCCUGAUUAGCACGAGAGCUUAAAACAUGACUAUUUCUUUUGAUGAAAAACUCUUUUAUUAAGGAGAAAAGACCAUGGUCUUACUCUUAUGUUGGGUGUGUACUGAGUUAUUAAUUCAUGAUUUCAGGUUUUAUUCAAAACUCGUAAUAGUUGGCUCUUUGUUCCUACUAGCCACACAUUCUGUGUUGUUUUCGUAUUAGAAUAGGAUGGCAGAUAUAUGUGUGUUCAAAAGUAAAUACAGUAUUUGAACUUAUUCUAUUACAGGAAACCACAUGGUGGAUAUUGGGGAUAUUAUAUUUAUUUUGAAUGAGCUACAGGAACAGUAUGAGGAUGUUUGUAAGUGAGCUCUUGUUGCUAUGACAAGUUUUGUUUAUAGUUAAAGUCUUUACAUUAAAUCUUAAUUUAUAAGUUUUAUUUUAUAAAGGGUUUUGAAAACCUUCUCUGAAUAAUUUACCUUCUUAAAUCAGGGAGAUGAAAUAUAAUACUCAAAAUGCUAUUUAUAUGUCCUCUUUUUAGAAAUGUCUAUGCAUAUUCUUUGCCUAGUUUUUUUUUUUUUUUUUUUUUU